rnacentral:rRNA from 1 species
AUUGAACGCUGGCGGCAUGCCUUACACAUGCAAGUCGAACGGUAACGGGCCUUCGGGUGCCGACGAGUGGCGAACGGGUGAGUAAUACAUCGGAACGUGCCCGAUCGUGGGGGAUAACGAGGCGAAAGCUUUGCUAAUACCGCAUACGAUCUACGGAUGAAAGCAGGGGACCGCAAGGCCUUGCGCGGACGGAGCGGCCGAUGGCAGAUUAGGUAGUUGGUGGGAUAAAAGCUUACCAAGCCGACGAUCUGUAGCUGGUCUGAGAGGAUGAUCAGCCACACUGGGACUGAGACACGGCCCAGACUCCUACGGGAGGCGGCAGUGGGGAAUUUUGGACAAUGGGCGCAAGCCUGAUCCGGCCAUGCCGCGUGCAGGAUGAAGGCCUUCGGGUUGUAAACUGCUUUUGUACGGAACGAAAAGCCUUCUUUUAAUACAGGAGGGUCAUGACGGUACCGUAAGAAUAAGCACCGGCUAACUACGUG